GAGCAAUUAUGGUUAAGCUACUAAGAGCACACGGAGGAUGCCUAGGCGCUAGGAGCCGAUGAAGGACGUGGCGAACAACGAAACUGCCUCGGGGAGCUGUAAGCAAGCUUUGAUCCGGGGGUGUCCGAAUGGGGAAACCCAGCUGGGGUAAUUUCCAGUUACUCAUAACUGAAUACAUAGGUUAUGUAGAGGCAUACCAAGGGAACUGAAACAUCUAAGUACCUUGAGGAAGAGAAAACAAUAGUGAUUCCGUCAGUAGCGGCGAGCGAACGCGGAGAAGCCCAAACCAGAGAGCUUGCUCUUUGGGGUUGUGGGACGUCUCACAUGGAGUUACAAAGGAACCGGUUAAGUGAAGAGGUCUGGAAAGGCCCGCCAAAGAAGGUAAAAGCCCUGUAG
rnacentral:rRNA from 2 species